GACGAACGCUGGCGGCGUGCCUAAUACAUGCAAGUAGAACGCACAGUUUAUACCGUAGCUUGCUACACCAUAAACUGUGAGUUGCGAACGGGUGAGUAACGCGUAGGUAACCUGCCUGGUAGCGGGGGAUAACUAUUGGAAACGAUAGCUAAUACCGCAUAAUAUUGAUUAUUGCAUGAUAAUUGAUUGAAAGAUGCUAUUGCAUCACUACCAGAUGGACCUGCGUUGUAUUAGCUAGUAGGUGAGGUAACGGCUCACCUAGGCGACGAUACAUAGCCGACCUGAGAGGGUGGUCGGCCACACUGGGACUGAGACACGGCCCAGACUCCUCCGGGAGGCAGCAGUAGGGAAUCUUCGGCAAUGGACGAAAGUCUGACCGAGCAACGCCGCGUGAGUGAAGAAGGUUUUCGGAUCGUAAAGCUCUGUUGUAAGAGAAGAACGGGUGUGAGAGUGGAAAGUUCACACUGUGACGGUAUCUUACCAGAAAGGGACGGCUAACUACGUG
rnacentral:rRNA from 1 species